ensembl:miRNA MIR186 microRNA 186
ACUUUCCAAAGAAUUCUCCUUUUGGGCUUUCUGAUUUUAUUUUAAGCCCAAAGGUGAAUUUUUUGGGAAGU